rnacentral:lncRNA from 10 species
AGGAUACAAAGUGAUAUUAUGAUUUAUGAAUACAAUGUAGCAUAAUUAAAUCAAUUUUUUUUAUCACUAGGUGGAUAUUAAUUAGGUACCUGCAAACCACUAUGCAAAGCUAAAUAAGAAAUAAAAAUUUUUUUUAUGGCCGAGCACCAUGCCUCAUGCCUGUAAUCCCAGCACUUUCGGAGACCGAGGGGGUGGAUCACCUAAGGUCAGGAGUUCAAGACCAGUCUGGCCAACAGGGUGAAACCCCGUCUUUACUAAAAAAUACAAAAAGAUGGCCGGGCGUGGUGUCAGGCACCUGUAAUCCCAGCUAGUCAGGAGUCUGAGGCAGAAGAAUUGCUUGAACCCGAGAGGCAAAGGUUGCGGUGAGCCAAGAUUGCACCAUUGCACUCCCGCCUGGGCAACGAGUGAAACUCCAUCUGAAAAAAUAAAUAACUAAAAGUGUUUUUACUCCAAAUGUCCACAGUCAAUCCAGAGCCAUUUAAAAACUAUAUCUGUACAUAUAUCCAAAAGUAUAAAGAUCCCAAC